CGGGCAACGGGACGCCACGGUAAGCCGCGGGUGCGGCCUGGAAGGCGAAGCAGCAAGUUGGUGGCGCCGCGCCAGCAGGCCAGGACCCGCCUUGAGAGGACAGAGUCGCCACUCGCCUUAGCCCCACACUUCCCCUUCAGCCUCCUAAAGUCGCUGGGGUUUGGCCAUGGCCUCAGAAGCAGUGAAAGUAGUUGUGCGUUGCCGCCCUCUGAACGAUCGCGAAAAGCAACUUGGCUGCAAGGUGGUGGUCAACAUGGACAGCGCUCGUGGCCAGUGCUUCAUCCAGAACCCUGCAGCCACGGAGGACCCGCCAAAACAGUUCACUUUUGAUGGGGCAUAUUAUGUAGGCCUCAGUACAGAGCAGAUUUAUAAUGAAAUCGCCUACCCACUCGUAGAGGGUGUUACAGAAGGCUAUAAUGGUACCAUCUUUGCCUAUGGGCAGACAGGCAGCGGGAAGUCCUUUACCAUGCAAGGAAUUGUGGAUCCACCUUCCCAGAAGGGUAUCAUUCCCAGAGCCUUUGAACACUUAUUUGAGAGUGUGCAGUGUGCGGAAAACACCAAGUUCUUGGUGAGGGCUUCUUACUUGGAGAUCUAUAAUGAAGACAUCAGAGACCUUCUUGGUCCAAAUACCAAACAAAAAUUGGAGCUGAAGGAGCACCCAGAGAAAGGAGUCUAUGUCAAGGACCUGUCUUUGCACACAGUGUCCAGCAUCACCCAGUGUGAGCGCAUCAUGGAGACGGGAUGGAGAAACCGUGCUGUGGGCCACACCCUGAUGAACAAGGACUCCUCGCGCUCUCACUCCAUCUUCACUAUCAACAUGGAGAUCUAUGUCGUCGAUGAAAGAGGACGAGAUCACCUGAGAGCAGCAAAGCUCAACCUGGUGGACCUGGCUGGGAGUGAGAGGCAGUCCAAAACUGGAGCUGUCGGAGAACGCCUCAAAGAGGCCACCAAAAUCAACCUCUCUCUCUCAGCGCUGGGCAAUGUCAUCUCAGCCCUGGCAGAUGGAAAGUCCAGACACAUCCCCUAUCGAGACUCCAAGCUGACCCGGGUGCUACAAGAUUCACUCGGAGGCAACACCAGGACGCUCAUGGUGGCGUGCUUGUCUCCUGCAGACAACAACUACGAUGAGUCUCUCAGCACCUUGCGCUAUGCCCACCGAGCCAAGAACAUCCAGAACAAGCCCCGUAUCAAUGAAGAUCCUAAGGAUGCUUUGCUGAGGGAAUACCAGGAGGAGAUCAAGAAGCUGAGGUCUGUCUUGGCUCAGCAGAUGAGCAUAAGUAACUUGCAAGUGGAUUUGUCGGUGAAGCCAGAGCUCCCUCCCGAAUCCCAGACAGAGACAGAUAUUGAGAGGGAGAAGCAGCUAAUCCGAGAAGAGUAUGAGGGAAGACUGGCCAGGCUGAAGGCUGAUUAUGAGGCUGAGCAAGAGUCCCGCAUCCGGCUGGAGGAGGACAUCAGUGCCUUGAGGAGUGCUUAUGACCAGAAGUUCACUACUUUGGAAGAGAACCUCGGGAAGGAAGAAGAGACCACCGUGCCAGUUGAAGCUGUUGCUGACCAAGCAUCUUUGCCUCAGGGCCCUGCUGCAGAAAUGGAAGUGACAGCCAAGGAGUCUGAGACAGCAGAGCCUCCUGCUCCUCCCAUGGCCCAGCAUAUGGAUCAGGUGAUCAGACUGGGAACACCUAGGACUGAUGCAGAUGAGGAACUUCCGGUGACUGUGAGCCAACAGCUUGUACUUGCCAGGUUGCAGAUGCUGGAGCAACAGGUGGUGGGAGGAGAGCAGGCCAAGAACAAAGAUCUGAAGGAAAUGCAUAAACGGCGGAAGAAAAUUGCAGAUGAGCGGAAAAACCAGCUGUUAGCAGCUCUGCAGAACUCGGAUGAAGACAGCAGCGACUGGGUCCUGCUCAAUGUCUAUGACUCCAUCCAGGAAGAAGUACGAGCCAAAAGCAAAUUGCUGGAGAAGGUGAAGGAAAAGCUACGGGCUGCUGAUACUGAAAUCAAAGACCUUCAGUCAGAAUUUGAGUUGGAGAAGAUUGAUUAUCUGGCUACCAUUCGCCGCCAAGAGCGGGAGCUCCUGCUCCAUCAGCAGCUCCUGGACCAAGUGCAGCCUCUCAUACGGCGAGACUGCAAUUACAGCAACUUUGAUAAAAUCAAGCGGGAAUCCACCUGGGAUGAGGACUUGGGCUGCUGGAAGAUUCCCGAACUCAUCACUCAAAAGACUAGCCUCCCUGCAGUUUCAUCGCUGUCACAGACCAAAGCAGGCAGGAAGGGUUCGUCAUCGGAGAAUGGAGAUGGUGUGACAAUGGAAGAAGACCGCUACAAGCUGAUGCUGAUCAAGAGUGACAAUGAGAAUAUUGCCAGUAACUAUUUUCGCUCUAAACGAGCUAGUCAGAUUCUCAGUGCUGACCCUAUGAAGAAUCUAGCUUCCCAUAACUCACCCCCCUUGCUGAACAACAGCACCUCCAUCCUGACAUCCAGCUUGGCACCCAUGCCCUCUGCUCAGGCUGUGGAGAUGCCCCAGCCACGCCCCUUCCGCUUGGAAUCCCUGGACUUCUCCUCUCCUUCAGCCAAGACAAAACGCAAGAAAAGCCAGAACAACCUGAGUGGCCACCCCCUCUGACGGUUGUGGCUGCCUGGCUUGCUGUUCUCUCUGGCAAACAUCUGGCCCUCCUUGCCUGGCCCCGUGGAGGGUGGCCACAGCUGCUUUUCAAAGGGACUCGUUGGCUUUUCUUACCCUUUGGGGGUGAGUGAAAGCAAUUCAAUGCUGCUCCCUAGAGACCUGUAGUGUGAUCAGCCCUACAUGUUCACAUUGGGGCUGGGACCUCUCACUGUUAUCCUUUGAUGUCCCUUUGACAUUUUGUAGUAGCACUGCCCUUUGAGCUGCCCCUCCUCUCCCGGUCAUUGCUAUAUGUAGCAGCAGAAAGGGAAAUUGAACCCUGAAUGGAUGGACAAAGAUUUCUUGAUGGUGAGCCUUAAGCUCCCCUUCCCUCAGACAUUGCCUCUCUUCCUAAUUUCAGUUGGGCACAGAAAACCCUGAGCCUGCUCGAUGACCUAUAGCACUGUUGCCCUACCUGCUCUAUAUUUGGGGGUUCUGGGUUUCUUAAGAGGGUGGACAGAGAGAAAGGGAGACCCCCUUCCAGUGAAUAAUCUGCUAGCCUCAAGAGUGAAACAGUACCCCAAGACAGUGAUACUUUGCAACUUCAGCACAAAUUAUGUCAAAAAAUAAAGCGAGGAAUCCACACUUUGAACAAAGACAUUGUGUAAUAUUCUUAGCACCACCUGGUGGCAAUCUGCAGCAAUCAAAGCUGUCUUUCCCACCCUCAAGUUAAAACAUAUGAAUAAAACUGCAGCCCUUCUAGGCCUUGACAGCACUCCCCUUGCAGGCCCACAGGUCAACGCUGACUGUGCACGCAUGGAGGCUGGAACCAGACUGCCACUGGCCCACAGAGCUUGGGGAGCACUAGCAGGGCCUAGAGGUCCUUAAUUGAGGAGCCGCCAGUGCCAGUAAGAUGCCCUCCUGCCUGCCCUUUGAAUCGCUUUAGAGGUAGGAAUCCCCUUUGCUUGUAAAGAGGAAUCCUCACCAGAUUCCCCUUUACAAACAUAGCCCCUUGGACUAGGUCGAGCCUGGCCUGUUGGGGUGGGGGUAGGGGCUGGACCAGUUCAAGCUCGAACCAGGCUGGCUCGAAUCGAACCUGGUUCAAUUUAGUUCGGACUGAGAAGGCCCAUUCUCUGCAACUGAAUCCGAGGGCAUCUCUGUGGGAAUUAUCCUUCCUACAUGGCUCAAGGGCAGGACUAUGUAAUUUAGAUCAAAAGCCUUAAGAGCCUGAGGAGGAGAACCCCACCCAAUUCUUUUAGUCCUGCAUUGGCUCUAGGCAGAACUUGAGUUCUCUCGUCUAUAUAGCUUUCGUUUUCUCUUUUCAGCAUUUGCUUGCCUUUUCCCUCAAUAGUAGUUCAAUCCUCCUUUUAACCUCUCUGGUUUUGUUGUUGUUGUUGUUUAAAAGACAGUCUCUUCCCCACCCCUUCUCCUCUCUUUCUCCGUUCUUCUGCCUGAAGGAUUUGGCACAUCCUAAUUCUGAAAGGAAAGUACCAAAUCGGCCUCCUGCAAUCGAUCCUCUCCUCGUGUGCAGUCCUGGCCCUGGCAACUAUAUAUCACCACUCAAGAGGCUUCCAGGGCAUUGUCUGGAACAUCGGGCUCCCAGCCCCCUGCAACAUCAUUCCAGCCUCCAUUGGGAACCUUCAAAUGGAGAACUCUGCCCACAUUGGGCCUGUAGGGAAAGAAUGGCAGUUCAGUCCCCAAAUCGCAAAGCAAAACCAGUUUGGUGAGAAAGCAGCAAAGCAAGAGGUUUUGAGACAUUUCUUUAGUAUUGAAGAACUACAAGGAUUUAUUUAAAGAAAAGAUUACAAAUGAAUGUAAAAAAGCCUACAGCUUUAUUUCAUCUGUGGCUCAUGGAAAGAAAGACCAAAACAAACAGCCAUAUCUGGAGAGACAAAAUGGAGACUAACACUGGAAGAACAAAGAGGGGAGGAGUCCAGCACUUUCCAUCCAGAACCCUAACUCCCCCCUUGCCUGCUGCAGUGGUCACUAUGAAACAUUGCAGCUGAGAGCUGAUGCUGCCAGGGUCCUAGCUCCCAUCCGGGCCCCCUCUCCGCCAGAACACCCCUCUCUAUGUUGGCCUCCUCCAGGCCUCCCCCCGCCCAGACUUUUCCAUCUGAAAUUCCCCCAGCAUGGCAAUCCUGGUUCCAAGAGGCCAGCCAAUGCCUUUCAAAGAUUUGACUAAUCCAAGGCUAAAAAGCGAAAAAGAACCAGACGAGAACUUCCUUUCGCUAUGAAUUCUUCAUCAACAGAGUCUAGAAGUCCAUCUCCUAGUAAGCAUUGAAAGGAAGAUAAGGAAGAGAGAAUGUUCUGAUGGCCAGGACCCAGAUAAUGUGUCGGCCUCUCAAAGACUAUUCCAAUCUCCUGAUUUUGGGCCACUGAUGAAAAAAGCCAUUUCAACCCUGGGCCUCCAGCCUCCACCUACCACUGCUUCGCAUCCAAUAGCAACCUCACCUUGGUCCCAUGUGAUGGCACAAAACUGUUUGGUGAAGCAGCUUUGAAGGGUGUCCUUGUAGAAUCAAGGGGCAAGUGAAAAAACCAUGCCAUCCAAUUCACACAGACCUGAGCGCUUACUACCUAGAAAACCCUUUCAGUCCUUUAAGCCCUCUCGGGCAUUUUGGUCCUCAUUUAGACUUCAGACCUCAGUAACUUCAGACCUCAAUGCAGAACAUGAAACUGUUCCCAAUCAGCAUGACAAUUCAACAACUGUGCAGCCUUCACCACCCAAACCAGAAACACCAAACACCAAAGAACAAUCUUGACUCAGAGCCAGCCUCUCUCUGCAUUGCCUGGGAACUCACCACAUCAUAUGACUGGGUUGUGGGCUCUAUUGCAACCGAGUCCAAGAAAGAACUGGGUGCCAAACCAAUUCCCUCUUUCUGUGUCUUAAUUUACGCAAUAAAAAAGGUCGGGAGAGAAGUAUUGUAGCAGAUCAUCAUGCAUAUUGCGUCGCCAUUAUAUCAACUAACCCAGGUGUUUAAUUAGAUUGGGGGAAAGUCUUGGAUAUAAGUCUUGGAUUUUAAACAGUGGGAUAUAGAACACUGAAGCUGACGUAUAUACCUUGAAACAUCUGUUCUUUGUUGUAGUUCCCUCUUUCUAUGUUUUAAUUUACGCAAUAAAAAACCAUCUGGAGAGAAGGAUGCCAAAUCACCAAACCACUUCCUCGCCUGUCUCUCACUUGCCUUUCAAACAUACAGGUUUGCAAGAGGCCAUCCACCAUCUGCUAGCCAUAGAAGCCAUAGAGUUAGUCACUCAGGAUCAAGAGGGCACCACAGGCAUCUAUUCUAUCUUGUUCAUGGUUCCAAAGAAAGAUGGCUCCCUAAGGGCAGUCUUAGAUCUCAAGUUCCUAAACUGCUGUGUGAAGAAGAAAAGGUUCAGGAUGGAAUCACUCAGGUCCAUUUAUUUAUUAUUAUUUUUUUAAAAAACAUUUUAUAUCCCACUCUUCCUCCAAGGAGCCCAGAGCGGUGUACUAUAUAAGUUUCUCCUCACAACAACCCUGUGAAAUAGGUUAGGCUGAGAGAGAAGUGACUGGCCCAGAGUCACCCAGCAAAUAUCAUGGCUGAAUGGGGAUUUGAACUCGGGUCUCCCCAGUCCUAUUCCGGCACUCUAACCACUACACCACGCUGGCGGAGGCACUUCAACAUCUGGACCUCCUAGCUUCAGUAGAUCUCAAGGAAGCUUACCUCUACAUCCCCAUUCACCCAUACAGCUGUCGCCUCCACUUCAAAUAUGCAGAGACUCGCUACCAAUACUGGCACUACCGUUUGGCCUGUCCUCAGCACCACGCAUCUUUACCAAGGUAUUGGCACGAGUAAUAGCACAUCUGUGCCUGCAGGGGGUGCACAUUUUUGCUUAACUGGACGAUCUACUGAAAUUUCCAUUCCUGUAGGCUGCUCAAAGGGACCUGCAGAUAACUCUCCAGGUACUACAGGACCUGGUUUGUCUCCUUUCUCCCACUCACCAUGGGACAACAUGUAUCUACAGUGACAAUCACCAGGUUGAUAAAAACAUGCAUCUCACUGGCUUACAAAUCACAGAGCUUGCGCUCUUCUACACACAUUUUCACUCAUUUCACCAGGGCAGCAGCGACAUCAGCUGCUUUCUCCACUAAUGCACCUGUCCAAGAAAUAUGCAGGGCGGCUUACCUGGAUGGCUCCAUCCACAUUUACCUUGCACUACAAAAUGGACUCCUAUGCUUCAGCACAAGCAGCCUUUGCUAGAUGGGUUCUCCAGCAAAUCCUGAGUAGGCACAGGUGCUCCCUCCCUCAGGUUAAUUGACAGUAUGGAUGUGCAUGAAAUACUUGGGCAUCAUCCCAGUGAGGCAGGGGGGGUGCCUUUAAAAGGAGUCAGGCAGGUCAGACCUGCCUGCUUCAUUUUAAAGGCACCCCCUCACUCUGCAUUGAAACGUUUCAGCUGCAGGGAGCCGAAUUAUUUUGGCGCGUCUUCAAAGAGGUGCCGAAACUUUGGGCUCAUCCCUAAUUGACAGGGCGGUGGUAUGCCCCACACAGAUGUCCUUGGAUUCAGCUGCAGAGAAUGGAGCAUUGGUCACUUACUAGGAAGGCUUCUUCUUGCAGCUGGAUCCAAGGACUUCUCAACCCACCCAUGGGCACCAAUGCCUACUCUUCAGGACAAUAGUAAUGGGAUCUCCUGCUUCUUCAUUGGCUGUACUAUUCUUUUGUAUUCUCCUAUCUCUGACUUCGUAUUUUUCCAUUUGCUAUUUCGCUGCUUGGCCCAAAAGAACUGGGUGGGGUUAUCCUCCCCAGGUUCUUGAGGCUUCUGAUCUAAUUUACAUAGUCCUGCUCUUGAGCCACGUGGGAAGGAUAACCCACACAGAGAUGUCCUCAGAUUCAGCAGCAAGAAGCAGCCUUCACAGUAAGUGACCAAUGCUCCACUCCCAGGUCACCACCAGAUGAACUGUUGGCACCCGAACAUGGACCCCUAUUGAUGAUCUUAAUGAGUAGUGCGGAUCUAGAGAAAGGCGCUCUCUCCGGUAACCUGGACCUAAGCCAUUCAGGGCUUUAAGGUAAUAACCAGCACUUUGUACUUUGCCCAGCAACAUAUCGGCAGCCAAUGCAACUGUUCAAAGUUGUACCAUUGAGUUGGUGUCAACUCCUGGCUCCCACAGAGCCCUGUGGUUUUCUUUGGUAGAAUACAGGAGGGGUUUACCAUUGCCAUCUCCCACACAGUAUAAGAUGAUGCCUUUCAGCAUCUUCCUAUAUUGCUGCUGCCCAAUAUCGGUGCUUCUGGGAAACAUAUCAGCGAGGAUUCGAACCAGCAACUUCUUGUUCCCUAGGCAACUUACUUCCCCACUGCACCAUUAGGUGGCUUGGGGCAUGUGUAAGAACAGGCAUAAUUGGAACUAACUGAAGUUUCCAAACAACGUACAAAGGCAGCUCUAAAUAGAGCACACUGCAGAAGUCCAACCUAGAGGUUACCAGCUGGUGUACCACAGUUUUCAGGUCAUUCUCCUCAAGGAACUGUGGCGAUUGGCUAGUAAACACUCUCAACCAAGAGGAAUUUAAACUUAGGUACCUCCUCUGGAAAGAAUCCCUAUGGGAGGGGAUUUGGAAUUGAGUGAACAGGUAUUUAUAAAAUUCAGAGUUAACUGACAAUUCAGGUAGGACUUGGAUAAGCCAGAGAUAGGAAUGCAGAUAGGGACAGCUAGGGCUAGAGAGAGAAUCUCUGGUUAGGGUCUCUAAAGCAGAACUGAGGGUGGAAUUGGGAGGUUGGUGGGUAGGUUUUACACACCUAGGAAUACCUCUGUAGAGCAAGCUUGACUAUCAAAUGUAAAUGCUGGGAGGUUGUAUCCCAGUAAAGGUGCUGAAAGUCCCAAAAAGCUUAUUUCCAAACAGUCACCUCAGUAACUUGAAAGUAAGGCCUUUGUUGAUGUACUGACACAAUGAUAUAUAAGUACCUGAGUUUGAAUACCAGUUCUAAGUAUAAGAGGUGGUGUACAGUCUUGCCAGUCGUAAGGUUGUUACUUUGUUUCAGAAACCAUUAUACAUUUGACCCUACAUUGUAGUGAAUAAGAAAUCACUGAAGCUAUUGUACAAGAAUACAGUUAUUUUCUUUGGUUUGGAACUUUAAAACUGUUUCAACUGUGUCUAUUUACUUCUCCCAACAUUACCACUUGGGCACAAUACCAAAGUUAGUGUUAGAAACCCAAAUUAAGGUGUCAUUUGGGGUGGCAGUAUAAUAAGUAAAGAUUUAAAAACAAAUCAAAGGGUCAAAAACAUAUUGUCUAUUUCAACCUCUAUAUAUUUUAAUCACUAAUCUCACACUCCCAAUCUUGGGUCAUGACAGAAACGGGUGGAGUUGUCGAAUCAAUCGCAGCUGGUAAAAGUGCUUCUGGGUACAGCCUCAGCCUGAGGCACCAGGGUGAGAUUUGGGUCCAAGAGCACUCCCAAUUGACGGGCCUGUUCUUUCUGGGGGAGUGUAACCUUGUUAAGAACAGGAAGUUCUAUCUUGUUUUGCAGAUUAUGACCCCCCUCAAUGAGCACCUGCGUCUUGCUUGGAUUCAGCUUCAAUUUAUUAUCCCACAUCCAGCCCAUUACUGCCUGUAGCAGGCCUUUAAGGGGCUAAUGCCAUUUCCUGAUAUGAUGACAAGGAGAAAGAGAUUUGAGUGCCAUCAACAUAUUGAUAGCACCCAGCAUCAAAUCCCCUGAUGAUCUCACCCAGCAGUUUCAUGUAGACAGAAUGGAGCCCUGAGGGACUCCAUAUAGUAGCUCCCGUUUAGAAGAGCAACUGUCACCAAGCGCAACCAUCUAAAAUCUACCCGAGACAGAGGAGCAAAACCACUGGUGAUCCAGAAGAAUACCAUGAUUGAUGGUAUCAAAAACUACUGAGAGAUCCAAAAGAACCAGCAGAGUCACACUCCCUCUGUCAAUUCCCUGGUGAAAGUCAUCUGUCAGGCUGACCAAGGGUGUCUCAACCCCAUCGCCCACCCUAAAGCCAGUUUGAAAUGUGUCUAGAUAAUUAGUUUCCUCCAAGCUGGUUAGCCACCACCCUCUCAAUCAUCUUACCCAACCAUGGAUAAGAUGAUUGAGGUUGGAGACUGGCCUAUAACUAUAACCAUCACAAGGGGACACAGAGUGGGCUUCUUAAGAAAGGGUCUAACCAAACAAGGUGGCAUUCUGCCCUCCCUCCGUGAGGUAUUAAUGAUAUCAACUAGGCCAGCUCCAACAACCUCCCUGCAAGAUUAAAUCAGCCAUGUUGAGUAAGGAUCCCAAGAACAGGUGGUAGAGCAAGGAGCCGUGCAGCUCCUUUUGUGAGAAGCUUCAGCCAGUGCUGGGUUCCCAGCCUGGCUGGGAAUGAGUGUAUCUGUCUUUCAAGACAGGGAAAGGCACUCUCCACAGGCUGGAAACCCAGCGCUGGCUGAAGUAACUUGCAAACGGGGCUGCACAGCCUGUUUCUGCAUAUGGCUAGCGUGCCUGGGGCUGCCGGCAGCAGGUUGCACCCAUGCCCCCAGUGGCUUCCUAUGGGCCUGUUUAGAGUACAAUAUCUAAUAAAGCAGGACAGAGCAUGGCACGAGGCAACAAUAAUACAACAAGGGAACCAACGGUCAUAGAAUAUACAGAUGGACAGUGGAUAUAUUCUUAGACAUAAUAGACGUCACCUCUGGAAAACACAAGAAUCUGGUGAGUCCAUGGACUCAGAUAUGAGGCAAACACAUGAUCAGCUGAGGAUCUAGCACAAGCAGAUUAGAGCAGAAUCUUUAUCUCAUGCUGAGAAAGAUGGAGACAUGCCAGAGAAAGGAACAAGAGAGAUGUCCCAUGUGCCUUAAUUAUGUCAACAGGCCAGAAAAGUAUGGGGUGUGGACAGCUUUAGCAAGAAUCACACUCCACCCCUAUUCUAAAUCUAUUUAGCUGGAAGGAAAUGCCAUGGAUUUCAGCGGAGCUUAUUUCCAAGUUAGCGUUCUUGGGAUCACGGCCAAAGUCAGAGGCCUAUGAUAGGACAGUAAAGUAAACAAGACAUAAAUAGGCUAGUUGUUUCUGAAGGGUGGUGGUUGGAUUUGGGGUGGGGGGUUUUCUUCACUGCUUUUGCAGCUGUUUUGUCGAUGCUGCUGUGAUUCUGCUAGGUUUGUUGGUACUGUUUUAAAAGUGCUGUAUUGUAUGACAAGUUAGGCUUGCCUAACUUGUCCUUUUGAUUUCUAUGGGAUUUACCCGAGUAAAUUUCAUCAGGAUGUCAGCUUACGACUCUAUGUGAGCCACCUUGGACACACGUGUGUAAAGGUUCUAAUCACCCAUACAUGUAGAAGUAGGCUAGAAAUGUUUUAAAUAAUUAAGUACAACUGAAUAGUCACAAACAAAUGUGGCCCAAUACCCACCCACCCCCUUUUUGUGCGAAAAGCCACUUUGGAGAGACGGAAUGGGGGUGGCGAAGUGGAAUGGGGAGAGGGCAUCUGACCCUUUCCCUUGCUUCCCCACCGCCAACUGCCCUCUCUCAAAGCAGCUUUUAAGAAAAACAGAGUCACUGGGCUAUUGAUGCCUACACAAAUUUGGAGCCGGGGAGGCAGUUCAUGUAUAACAUGUUUUCACAUUAGGCAAGUAUGUGCUGCAAAUCAUCCUGAGCUGUCUGCCCUGUGCCAUGUCCAAGUAAUCAGACCGGGCAUUGCGGGAGAGUCUCACAGUUCAGUUGCCCAGUUGGAAUACUGUAGUCACCCCUGGAAGUCAACUGGCAGGCCUGUAAGCCAGGAAGACUGUAGAGCAUCCCCAGUGCCAGGGCACCCGGCCAACUUACUUCUCGGAUUAGCUGCUUCUCCCUCUCAAUAUCUGUCUCUGUCUGGGAUUCGGGAGGGAGCUCUGGCUUCACCGACAAAUCCACUAAGGAAGAGGAGGAAAGGCAUAAUUGAGAAGACAGCAGUCCAUAGAUGCCUUGAAAACCGAGUCUGUCAGUAACUCUUUCCAAAUGACCCAAGGAUCCCAUUUCCAAGUGAUUUGCUAUUGUCCACACUGACCACGAGUAUACUUUCCAGGCAAUUUCUUCACCCUUUACUAUGAGAAAUGUACACUAGUGAUGUAGCUGAUGCAAGCAGUCCAGAGGAUGUACUCCCUGCUUGCACAGCUGUUCUGAAGAAAGCACAAUUUUUCAGUACUUGGAUUACAAUACUGUGUCGCAGAGGAAUGCGCAGAGGAAAAUAUCCCCAAAUAUAGCAAAUACUGCCACAAUUAGGAGUGCAGUGUGGAAUGUGGUUGUGCACAAACCGGGACCAAACAUGCAGUUCCUACCCCCAGCUUUGUGUUCUGGCAGUUAUUUAUGUCAAGGUUAUUGUGUAUUUUCUAGUCAUUUAGUAGUUGAGCACUCCCAGCCAUAGCAGUGCAGAACAACAGAGCAUCCACCUGGCUCUUUAAAUGUGUCUUUUUAAAGUGGCAAACACCACAUAUGUUCCCUUCUCGCCUUGAUGCAAUGGCAUGCCUUUCCCUUUGAUAUUUUAGUUCUAUGUGCUCCCCUCUUUAGCGCAUAAAUGCACAUCUCCAUGUACUACAAGGGAAAAGAGUAACAACCAUAUAGUUGUUACCUGAAGUGCAGCUCUCUGCAGCAAGGUGACUUUGGGGAGGCUGCUAAUAAGGUUACCUUGGGGAGGUGCCUUGAGGGGUGGCUAAAGCCCUUUCUCCUGACAUGAUUGCGUCCCAUCCCCAUCACAGACGUGUCCUAUUGUUGGAUUUUUUAACUUAUAUUCUGGAGUGGUACAAUCCUAGCAGUGCUAUACCAUGUGCUUUAUUUCAACAUGAAAAUUGCCCUAGAGUGGCUUCGCAUCUGGGACUAUUCCUUAUUCUGGCCACUGCCCCACUGUGGCGCCCAUUUUGGUUAGCACUCCACCCUGCUUAGCAGAGUACCAAACCACUAAGAGAUUCAGAUGGCCACAAAUGAUUUAAUUUUAAUUGGAAAUUGAAUUUUUCUAUAUCUGCUAUAUCUGUGUUACUGAUUAGUGUAUUUCUGUGCUUUGUGUUUGAUACCUGCCUUUUCUGUUUUCCAAUUCCAUUUGAAACAUUUUCAG